UUAGGUUGGGGAAUAUGGGUCAUUAGGACCUUAGAGGAGUGACGUCCCUACCCCAUAAUGCAUAGUUAAUUAUAUGCUCUGUAGACAGCAUUUUCAAUUUGUCUCUUUUUGUCAUGUCUAUUUUGUUGUGCGGAUAUUGGCCCUUUGAUGGCUUUUGUAGUAUUAAAGAAAUUGAAUUGAUAGAAAUUAAACCCGACCUUAUUCACCUUAUUAUUAUUUUCAAUCUUAAGAAAUAAAGCUGCUGAAAAUUGUCCUUUAUGAUAAUGAUAUGAAAUUAUAAUAUAAAAAUUCAUUAAUUUAGUAGUAGGCACUAAUCAAAUUAAACCAGGAACAAGCUCAUAAUGACUGCAAUUAAUCAGUACAUUUUGUAUCGCAAUGCUAGGUUGGGCAGGUUCAUCCGUUCAAGGCACAGCAAGUUACUGACUAUGUUGAACCAACUCAUUUCAAUCAUUUCACAUUUUAUUAGAGAACCAAAGAAAGACAUUUCACAGCUAUGGGAAAACUCUAUUUGAGACAACUGUGGCUCGUCCCAGAGAAAAACGAAAGCAAGUGAGAAAGAUGGACGCAAGCGAUAUGGAUCUGAAGGACCUUGGGGGAAAGUAUGGAUUAAAAGACAGUUGAUGUUCAUCCAACAGAGGAGGAGAAAGAAGAUUUAGAUGAAAUUUUAGCAGAGAGAAGUAAAACAAAAAGACAAACAGAAAAAAAAAAGCAGGAGAGGAAAAAUCUACAUUACAUCUUGUGGGAAGUGUAUAACAAAAGGUGUUUUAUCUGUCUGUCCAUGAUGCAUUCUUCACUAAUAUUCGUGAUAAGUUUAUCAGCACAGUAUGACCGAUACAUGAAAAUUUGGAAUACAGAAACUGGUAAGAACUGAUUAGAAAUCAUCUUAUAAUGUCACUGAAAACCAAAGCAUCCAUGAAAAUGUGAGCUAUUGUGACAAAGUGAAUCUUGUACAAAAAUCAGGUUUUGUUCCUAGCUUGAGUACAACCAACUAAAAUCAUUUUCAAAUUCAGAAAUCUGAAAACAUAAUUUAAAGAAAAUUUCCAUUAGAGAUAAACAAUUGAUAAAUUUUGUGUUGGUUUUCC
rnacentral:lncRNA from 1 species